UCGAGAAUCUUCGGCAAUGGGCGCAAGCCUGACCGAGCGACGCCGCGUGGAGGACGAAGGCCCUCGGGUUGUAAACUCCUGUCGAGGGGGAAGAAGGGCGCGCCUUGCGCGCGUCUUGACUGAUCCCUGGAGGAAGCACGGGCUAAGUUCGUGCCAGCAGCCGCGGUAAGACGAACCGUGCGAACGUUAUUCGGAAUCACUGGGCUUAAAGCGCGUGUAGGCGGGUCGGUGCAUCGGCCGCUGAAAGCCCCCGGCUCAACCGGGGCAGGGGCGCCGUGAUGACCGGCCUGGAGGGGCGUAGGGGGAUCGGGAACUUCCGGUGGAGCGGUGAAAUGCGUUGAGAUCGGAAGGAACGCCCGCGGCGAAAGCGCGGUCCUGGACGCCUACUGACGCUGAGACGCGAAAGCCAGGGGAGCGAACGG
rnacentral:rRNA from 1 species